CCUUGAUUCCACUCCUUCAGUUCAGCAACUAUUUACCCUGGAGAAACAGAUAAUCCAGAGCUGACAAUGCAACAGGCUUCAGUGGAAGACAUUUUGCCAAGUCCUUUAACUGUGCCCUGAAAUUAACACACCAAUCCAAAAUCCAGUUCCUGCAAGUAACUUCUCCAGGAAGAGCUACAGCGAUGGGGCAGAUACUGAGAACCUUUGCUCUACAGACAUAUUUUCAUAGCUACGUGUCGCUAGUCAAGCACGCGCAUUUGGAUAUUCACCCGGGACACACGGGCACCAUCAGUGCACCUGCAUCCUCCAGUCUGUCCCGCGUGUGCUCAUCGACUGGUUCAGUGAAAAAACUGUCCCCAGAUUUGAGGUUAAUGAAGGAAGCGAAAAGACUGACAUUCAUCUGAUUAAAGCAAAAAUUCCAAAAAUACACAGUUUGUUUUAUAUGUAUACAUACAUAGUUAUAGAUUUCAUAUGUGAAAACAUGCAGGAGAAGACAUGAAUCUUCGAAAUCAAGUAUACAGAUACACAGGAAGACGUAUAUGUGUAUGCAGACAGGUAGGUCUGAAAUACUGGAUAAAAAUCACAGUAUUGUUUGAUGUUACACUCACCAGUGAAUAUGUUGCAAUAGAGAUGAUACAUUAUCUAGUUGGUUUGUAAAUGAAUAAUAGUUUUAGAAAACUAAGAUGACUUAAGAACCAGCUGGGCCCACAUAACUAUCUCUGUUAAACAAUUCGAUGUAUUCUAUUUGGAGACAUUUUUGUGAAUAAAAAGUUCAUUUAUAAAAUUUCUUUAAGUGAAUAAUUGGGAUUAGUUGGAAAUCAUUUCCAUGAAUUCUCCUAUUAAAUAUGAAGCGAUCAUUUCACCAGCCCAGA